GGCGUUAAGUUGCAGGGUAUAGACCCGAAACCCGGUGAUCUAGCCAUGGGCAGGUUGAAGGUUGGGUAACACUAACUGGAGGACCGAACCGACUAAUGUUGAAAAAUUAGCGGAUGACUUGUGGCUGGGGGUGAAAGGCCAAUCAAACCGGGAGAUAGCUGGUUCUCCCCGAAAGCUAUUUAGGUAGCGCCUCGUGAAUUCAUCUCCGGGGGUAGAGCACUGUUUCGGCAAGGGGGUCAUCCCGACUUACCAACCCGAUGCAAACUGCGAAUACCGGAGAAUGUUAUCACGGGAGACACACGGCGGGUGCUAACGUCCGUCGUGAAGAGGGAAACAACCCAGACCGCCAGCUAAGGUCCCAAAGUCAUGGUUAAGUGGGAAACGAUGUGGGAAGGCCCAGACAGCCAGGAUGUUGGCUUAGAAGCAGCCAUCAUUUAAAGAAAGCGUAAUAGCUCACUGGUCGAGUCGGCCUGCGCGGAAGAUGUAACGGGGCUAAACCAUGCACCGAAGCUGCGGCAGCGACACUAUGUGUUGUUGGGUAGG
rnacentral:rRNA from 1 species